rnacentral:lncRNA from 1 species
UGCAUUCUGAUUUGUUCAUUUGCAUUUUUCUAUUGUGUAGAGAACAAUGAAGGGUAAAUAAGUACAAAUAAACAAUUUACAUAGAAAUUGCUAAAGUGUGGUGACUAGUGUUCAGAGUUGUUUUUAUUAAUGGUUGCCUACCUUAGCACACAUUCUUAGUGAACUCUCAGCCUACUUUUUUUAAAGGAGGUUGUAGCUUGUGAGAAAGAAAAUAGGUUCCAAUUUGUACUGGGAAAGGCAGAAUCGCUUAUUUUAAAUCAGUUAAAAUGACCAGACUAUUUCAUCUUAGUGUGAAUCAUCAUAUCCUAGCUCCAUAAGAAGUUAUUAUUCAUGCAAUGAAAUUGGCUUAAAUCUUGUUGCCUUCGGCAUAUGAAAUCAUGGUUUUUAUUAAUGUUCCCACUCUCCUUAAGUUGAAGGAUGCAGGGUUAGUAAAGACUGUGUCUUGCUCAGCGGGUCAUGUAACUUGAUCUUUUGGGCUCUGUUUUGGGUUUUCUUUUUCUUUUAAUGGCUUUGUUUAUUGGAGCAAGAGGGUUAUGCACACGCCACAACAUGCUUGUGGAGGUAAGAGGGCAACUAAGUCAGAAAGGUGAGCAUUCCAUCUACCUUGUGGGUUACAGCAAUCCUACUCAAGUGUCUACCCACUAAGCCAUCUUGUCCGCCUCUUGAUUCUGUUUUUGUAUCAUUGUAGACCAGGCUAGCCUAGAAUUUACACUAACCAAGGCUGCAUUUAAUUCCUGAUUCUCUUGCAUCCAUCUCCCAAAUUCUGGGAUUAUAGAUGUGAGCUGUGGCAUCUGCUUUUAACCUGACAUUUUGGGGAUCAGAUAAUUUAAUAGUGAAGAGAAAGGGCUGUGGAGUCAGACAGACAUGGGUUGGACUGUUGGAUGUUUUGCUGUUCAACAUUUGGACUUGAAGUCUGUUGUUACUAGUUAAAAGGGGUGGGUAUAAGAAUUAAAUGAAGUAAUGAAUAUAAAGUACUUAGCACAUGAAAGCUCAAGAAAUACAGUAACUAUCAUUAAAAUACCAUCAAACUUCAUCUUCAUCUAGUCAUGCUGUAUAUUCAGUGUCCAGAAAGACUGAUAACAAGUGAAAGACUGUUUGUAUAUUAUCUUUAUGUCUUUAUUCUUACCCUGUACAUUACAAAUGCACUUGUUUCCAGAGGCUUAGAAGUCAUCUCUGGAGUGUCAGAACUCUCUUGAUUUCUCACUGCCCUACCCCGAGAAGUCACCAUGCCCCUUCCAGAUCCUGCAGCUGUGCUAGCAUCAUGUUCCUACAGGAGUGCUUUGCUUACAUUCUGCUCAGGCUGUUCUUGUUUCAUGGGAGGGUCUUGCUGUAUAAUCCAAACUCAGCUCAAAUCCAAAAUCCUCCUGCCUCUGCCUCCCAAGAGCUUCAACUAUAGCUAUAACUAAGCAUCCUUCGAAGACUCCACUGUACAUUUGUGUAUAUUCCAACAACUCGUCCCUGGCCCCUUCCUGUAUGCUUGGGAGAAUGUUGCCACCGCCCUUGUCAGCCCUGUGAUCAGAUUCACAUUUCUCUGAGUCACUCAGCAGUCUCUCCCCUUGAUGUGUCUAAAAUGAUAUGGAAUUGCGUGCUUGUGGAGGUUGGUUUGGGUGCUGCUUUCUGGCUGUGUAGUUCUAUUCCUCUGUCCCCUGUGUCUGUGGAGAAAAUGGAAAUUAUAAGCACUUAGUGGAUUCUCUUUAGCACUUGGGAAUAGAACGUUGUAAAUAGUGUGUAUACAAUAUGAUUCCUAUCAAAACACAGAUGAUGUGUGGCUGACCUAGUGUUAGUGACAAUAAGCCCAACCUCUGGAUUGAAGAUCUCUAAUCUUUGAUUUACACAUGUUCUCUUUAUGUGUCUCUUUAUUGUGUUCCCAGGUUUUUGUGAGUUACAAUACUUAAUGUUCUGCCAUCAUAUUGAACUCCAGUUUUCAUUUAUUCAUGUGAUUUCAUUGAUUCAAUUCAUUGUACUCACUGUUGUAUUUGAUAGUUGUGAGUAUGCCAAUUUGCCUACCAAGAACUUGAGAGUGUGCCCCUAGGCCUACCUACCUGACACACCUAUUAAUCUGGGCUUAUUGAUGUUGAUGAUGCCAAAAAUCUCUUGGGUUGGUUGGUUGGUUGGUUGGUUGGUUGGUUGGUUUGUUUGUUUUUUAGCCACCUC